CUCUAUAUAUUUUCACAUUCAGUUCUCACAAUUCAAAUUCAGUUCUCAAAAUUCAAUUUCAAGUUACUGUGACAGACAUCCGGGUAGUUGAAGGAUGAAGGAAGAGCAAUCGAGCGCAGAUCGAUAGAUAGAGUUCAGUGGCGCAGAUACACAGGACUCCUCUUCGGCCAAUCAGCACCUACGUUUUGGAGCACAGUGCUCCAAAACGUAGGUGCUGAUUCGGAGCAAGGCUAGCAAGUGCACGUCAUUGCGUGAUUGCGUCAUUGAAAAUGUUUUCCCGCCUUCACUUCUGCGCUGCAUUUCAAAACACUGGACGAAAUGGAGGUGGAACUGUGAACUGUGCUGUUAAAUUUUUUGUUGAGAUGGAGAAGGUGAAUCAGCGUCAGUCUGCUUGCAGGAGGAGAAUAUUCUGUCGGCAACUUUGCCCGCAACGUGCGAAGUCUGGAAGCAACCCCAUCAUCGGCAGCUGUGUCUGAUCGCCGCUUCAUGUUGAAUAUACUUGUGUACAGUAUAUAGUAAUGUUUGAAUAAAUGUUAUAAUAAA